rnacentral:rRNA from 1 species
GGACCGUAUACAAGUCUCCUGGGAUGGAGCAUCAUAGAGGGUGAGAAUCCCGUCUCUGAUACGGACUACCAGUGCAUUGUGGUAUGCUCUCAACGAGUCGAGUUGUUUGGGAAUGCAGCUCAAAAUGGGUGGUAAAUUCCAUCUAAAGCUAAAUAUUGGCGAGAGACCGAUAGCGAACAAGUACCGUGAGGGAAAGAUGAAAAGAACUUUGGAAAGAGAGUUAAACAGUACGUGAAAUUGCUGAAAGGGAAACGCUUGAAGUCAGUCGCGUCUGCUGGGAAUCAGCCUUGCUUUUGCGUGGUGUACUUCCUAGUUUGAUGGGUCAGCAUCAAUUUUGACUGCUGGAAAAAGGUAAGAGGAAUGUGGCAGCUCUGGCUGUGUUAUAGCCUCUUAUUGUAUACAGCAGUUGGGAUUGAGGAACGCAGCACGCCGAAAGGCCGGGUCUUUGGACUACGUUCGUGCUUAGGAUGCUGGCAUAAUGGCUUUAAGCGACCCGUCUUGAAACACGGACCAAGGAGUCUAACAUGCCUGCGAGUGUUUGGGUGGAAAACUCGAGCGCGUAAUGAAAGUGAAAGUUGAGAUCCCUGUCAUGGGGAGCAUCGACGCCCGGACCAGAACUUUUGGGACGGAUCCGCGGUAGAGCAUGUAUGUUGGGACCCGAAAGAUGGUGAACUAUGCCUGAAUAGGGUGAAGCCAGAGGAAACUCUGGUGGAGGCUCGUAGCGGUUCUGACGUGCAAAUCGAUCGU